GCCAAAAACUAGCCUGCACAACACACCAUAAAUUACUUCACACAAAUUAAACCAUUUACCAAAUCCAGUAUAUGAGAUAGAACUAUAAACACAGCGCAAUAGCCCAAAUCGUACCACAAGGGAACCAUGAAAGACUAAUUAAUAACCACAAGCACCGCACAGCAGGGCUAAAGCCCCGUACCUCCUGCAUCAUGGUUUAGCCAGCAGCUCGCCGACAAAGCGCCCUAUGUCCGCCACCCCG
rnacentral:rRNA from 1 species